UUUCAUAAGAAACCAAUUAUCUUUGAAAACUGGAUUAAAAGUGAUAUAAUAUACUUGAAAUGACAUUCUAGAUGACACUAUGUCACUAUCAGAAAAUUAUAUUUUGAACAAAUUAAAGUGUAAAGUAAACUGGAUUGCUGAAUUUCAUAAAUUGAAACAAUCCAUUCCACAAAAUUGGAUUGACAUAGUUAAACAAGAAAAUUCUGUCCAAAGUAAAGUAAAUAUCCAUAGAAAUAAGAUCACAUGGAAAGAUCGUUAUUUUGAGACUACAUUUUUUUCAAAUAAAAUGUUAUAUGACUCUCUAGUGAAUAGUAAAAAAGAAACGUCAGUAGGGAUAAACAGGUGGCUCAAAAUUUUACCAUUGCAAGAAGCUUCAAAUAUGAAUUCAUUAUAUAACUUUAUUUUCAAAUACUUAACUGAAAAUAAAUUAAAAAUAUACAGAUGGAAACUACUACAGUUUAUUGUACCAACCAAAAAGCAUUUAUUACAAUGGAAAAUAACUAAUAACAGUUUGUGUAAUUUUUGUAACAUAGAAGAAGACUAUGCUCAUUAUUUUUUCAAUUGCUCUUAUUUAACAAGAUUUUGGCAACAAAUUAACGAUCUCUUAAAAAAGAGUAAUUUAGAUUUUUCAAUAAAAUUACAACACAUGAUAUUUGGAUACAAAAUUACAGACAGCAAGUAUUACCCAAUAAAUUUUUUGGUUACAAUUAUUAGUUUUUCAAUAUAUAAGUCGUACUAUGUAUCUGAGCAGAAAACAAAAAACAUAGACGUAUUCAGAAUUUUUAUUAAUGAAUACACCAAGAGAGUAGAUACCAAUAUUAAUGGACAUAAGACAAUAAGUCCAAUGUUGCUUUCAAUUAAAAGAAACAUAAUCAAUGAAUAAUUUUUUAUAUUGUUAAUAUAGAGUUUUGUAAACAAAAUGUAUGUCAAUUAAUUUAAUCAGCUGAUUAUUCCCUGGGUAGUCAGUGGAUUGUAACAGGGUACGUCAAGAGAAGCUUGGAAUCUUGAUGGUUUAUGUAACAAGCAAUAUUUGAUGAAUAAAAUUAUUAUGUAGUUAAAAAAAAAAAAUU
rnacentral:lncRNA from 1 species